AGAUUUGCAUAGACAUCUGGAAAGGAUGAUUUCAACAAGAAAUAAGUAAUAAUCCUCACUUAAAACGCAUCAAAAUUAAGAAUGCUUGAUCUUUUCCAAUUUUUUUUU
rnacentral:ribozyme from 1 species